UACAGAGGUCCCAAGCGUUGUUCGGAUUCAUUGGGCGUAAAGGGUGUGUAGGUGGCGCCGUAAGUCGGGUGUGAAAUUUCGGAGCUUAACUCCGAAACUGCAUUCGAUACUGCGGUGCUUGAGGACUGGAGAGGAGACUGGAAUUCAUGGUGUAGCAGUGAAAUGCGUAGAGAUCAUGAGGAAGACCAGUGGCGAAGGCGGGUCUCUGGACAGUUCCUGACACUGAGACACGAAGGUCAGGGGAGCAAACGGG
rnacentral:rRNA from 1 species